UCGUGCUGUAUUUAUUUUUUCUCGUAUUUUAAUUUUGCUUUCUUGCUUAAUAGCGUGAUUAUAAAUAUAUGAGACUCAAUGGAAGGAAAUAUCCGCUGUGUCUCUUUCCAAGUCACUACUACCGUGUGCAUUUAUUUAUUUUGUACUACUGAGAAUUAAACUCAGGAUCAUCACUGUGAGCUGCAUCUGUAGUUUUUCUUUUUCUUUUGGACAGCAGCUGCUAAAUCACUAGGUAGUACAGGUGGGCUUGGACUGGAGGAGUUCUGCCUGCCUCAGCCUCCCAGAGUGCCAGGGUUACGGCUGUGUAUCACCUCGUUCGUGAUCGCUCCUGGAAAUACUGUUGGGUCCCCCAGUGCAGACAGACAGACGGAAGGACCACAGCGCGGAGCCCAGCUGGACAACGGCAGCUGCCUUCCGCACCUUCGCAUCACUGGGAUGUAAAACCUGGCACUUGCAACUUACCGAGAGGCUGAUUUUGUAAAGUCCAUAGUCCCCGGGCUCAUGGCAGCAGGGCACAGUGAGAAAACACUGCUCGUGUCACACCAGGGAGAGAAGCGGAGACCCAGGGAGAGACACGCUUGUCCAGGCCGCGCCCCAGUGACCCUCUCUCCCCACCAACAGCAGUGGUCCGGUGGGCCAUCCACGCCCAGCGCCACGCUGAUUCAGCUCUCCGGUGUUACAAGCUGACCCUGGUGGUUAUCAAUCCAUCACGACCUCCCACAGCAUCCUGGUGCGCUGAGCUGUCUGCAACGCGCUCUGUGGUUACCAGCAAGGGCGCUGUGCCCCACCCGCUGUGGCGUCCACUUGUUCCUGGCCACCUGGGUGUCCUCCUC